rnacentral:rRNA from 1 species
AUGACAAUGGUGGAGGUGCUAUCGUCUGAGCUGGUCGUCCCGGCCGGAAAAACGCCGGGGGGCAACAUCUGGCUGUCCAACCUCGACCUCGCCGGGAGGAGAGGCUACAGCCCCACGGUCUACUUCUUCCGCCACAACGGCGAACCGAGCUUCUUCGCGGCCGACGCCAUGAAGGACAGUCUCGCAAGGGCGCUGGUCGCGUUCUACCCGCUCGCCGGCCGCCUGGGUCUCGACGGCAGCGGCCGGAUUCAGGUGGACUGCACCGGCGAGGGCGUGGCGUUCCUGACGGCCCGCUCUGAGCACUACGCGCUCGAGGAGCUGAUGAACGACUUCGUGCCGUGCGGCGAGAUGCGUGACCUGCUCGUGCCGCCGACGCCGGCGCCGAACCCGCCGUGCGCCCUGCUGUUCGUGCAAAUCACGCGCCUACGGUGCGGCGGUAUGGUGCUCGGCCAGGCGAUGCACCACUCGAUCGUCGACGCGCGCGGCGCCGCGCAUUUCUUCGAGACCUGGGCGAGCAUCUCCCGCGGCGGAGGCGCGCCGACCGUGCCGCCAUGCUUCGACCACACGCUGCUCGCCGCGCGCCCGGCGCAGUCGCGCGCAGUGCUGUACGACCACCCAGAGUACAAGCCAGAGCCGGAGCCGGUGGAUCCCGUGUCGGCCGCCACGUACGCGAGCGCCAUCAUCACGAUGACCAAGGGACAGGUGGGCGCGCUCAAGGCGCGGUGCCUCGGCUCCUCCGCGUUCCGCGCCGUGGUGGCCCUGGUGUGGCAGUGCGUGUGCCGCGCCCGCGCGCUUCCGCCGGCGGCCGAGACGUGGCUCUACUCCAUGGUGGACAUGCGCGCGCGCCUGGACCCGCCGCUCCCGGCGGGGUACUUCGGCAACGCCGUGAUCCGCACGUCGGUGUCGGCCACGGUGGAGGAGGUGGUGUCGAGCCCGCUGGUCCACGCCGCGAGGCUGGUGCGUGCGGCGACGAGCCAGAGCGACGACCACGCGAGGUCGUUGGUGGACUACCUGGAAGGGGUGGACACGAUGAACCUGCCCCGCAGGGGCAUCUCGCGCGCGCACCUCCGCGCCAUCAGCUGGCUGGGCAUGUCGCUCUUGGACGCCGACUUCGGGUGGGGCGCGCCGGCGUUCAUGGUACCGGCGCUCAUGUACUACAGCGGCUUCUUGUACGUGAUGAACGCGCCGGGCAAGGACGGCGCCCUUGCGCUCGUGCUGUCGCUGGAGCCCGAGAGCAUGCCUGCGUUCAGCAAGGUGUUCGCAGAUGAGCUGGCCCGCCUCGACGCCGGUGCAGAAAAAACCAGUACAGGCCUUUCAAAAAUGUAG